UACGUAGGGUGCGAGCGUUAAUCGGAAUUACUGGGCGUAAAGCGUGCGCAGGCGGUUCGUUAAGUUCGAUGUGAAAGCCCCGGGCUCAACCUGGGAAUUGCAUUGGAAACUGGCGGGCUUGAGUGUGGCAGAGGGGGGUGGAAUUCCACGUGUAGCAGUGAAAUGCGUAGAGAUGUGGAGGAACACCGAUGGCGAAGGCAGCCCUCUGGGCUAACACUGACGCUCAGGCACGAAAGCGUGGGGAGCAAACAGG
rnacentral:rRNA from 1 species